rnacentral:rRNA from 1 species
GAUGAACGCUGGCGGCGUGCCUAAUACAUGCAAGUCGAGCGAACAGACGAGGAGCUUGCUCCUCUGACGUUAGCGGCGGACGGGUGAGUAACACGUGGAUAACCUACCUAUAAGACUGGGAUAACUUCGGGAAACCGGAGCUAAUACCGGAUAAUAUAUUGAACCGCAUGGUUCAAUAGUGAAAGACGGUUUUGCUGUCACUUAUAGAUGGAUCAGCGCCGCAUUAGCUGGUUGGUAAGGUAACGGCUUAGCAAGGCGACGAUGCGUAGCCGACCCGAGAGGGUCGUCCGCCACCCUGGAACUGAGACACGGCCCAGACUCUGACGGUAGGAAGCAGUAGGGACUCUUACGCGAUGGAGGAAAGCCUGACGGUGCAACGCGGCGUGAGUGCUGAAGGUCUUCGGAUCGGAAAGCUCUGUUAUUAGUGAAGAACAAAUGUGUAAGUAACUAUGAACAUAUUGACGGUACCUAAUCAGAAAGCCACGGCUAACUACGUG